rnacentral:rRNA from 1 species
CCUACGGGUGGCAGCAGUCGAGAAUCAUUCACAAUGGGGGAAACCCUGAUGGUGCGACGCCGCGUGGGGGAAUGAAGGUCUUCGGAUUGUAAACCCCUGUCAUGUGGGAGCAAAUUAAAAAGAUAGUACCACAAGAGGAAGAGACGGCCAACUCUGUGCCAGCAGCCGCGGUAAUACAGAGGUCUCAAGCGUUGUUCGGAAUCACUGGGCGUAAAGCGUGCGUAGGCUGUUUCGUAAGUCGUGUGUGAAAGGCGCGGGCUCAACCCGCGGACGGCACAUGAUACUGCGAGACGAGAGUAAGGGAGGGGGAACCGGAAUUCUCGGUGUAGCAGUGAAAUGCGUAGAUAUCGAGAGGAACACUCGUGGCGAAGGCGGGUUCCUGGACAUUAACUGACGCUGAGGCACGAAGGCCAGGGGAGCGAAAGGGAUUAGAUACCCCGGUAGUC